rnacentral:lncRNA from 1 species
GGCAAAAUAUAGGUAAAUUUGAGAUCAAAAGUAUGGACAGUCAAAAUAUUUUGGAUAGGAUAAUCCUUUCUACCUCGAUACCUAGGAGCUAUUAUAGGGGAAACUUUUGUACGAACAUGUAUUCCAUCAAUUGCACCAAUAUAAUCCUGACAUUAAAACUUUAUUACUUGAUGAGAUAUAAUACACAUAUUAUAAAAUAACUU